rnacentral:rRNA from 1 species
UAACGCGUAAAGAACUUGCCUCACAGCUAGGGACAACAUUUGGAAACGAAUGCUAAUACCUAAUAUUAUGAUAAUAGGGCAUCCUAUAAUUAUGAAAGCUAUAAGCGCUGUGAGAGAGCUUUGCGUCCCAUUAGCUAGUUGGAGAGGUAACGGCUCACCAAGGCGAUGAUGGGUAGCCGGCCUGAGAGGGCGAUCGGCCACAAGGGGACUGAGACACGGCCCUU